GCCCGGGUGGUGGAAUCGGUAUACACAGCGGACUUAAAAUCCGUGCCUUUUGGCAUGCGGGUUCGAGCCCCGCCCCGGGCACCA
rnacentral:tRNA from 1 species